rnacentral:rRNA from 1 species
CCUACGGGUGGCAGCAGUGGGGAAUAUUGCACAAUGGGGGAAACCCUGAUGCAGCGACGCCGCGUGAGUGAAGAAGUAUUUCGGUACGUAAAGCUCUAUCAGCAGGGAAGAGAAUGACGGUACCUGAGUAAGAAGCCCCGGCUAACUACGUGCCAGCAGCCGCGGUAAUACGUAGGGGGCAAGCGUUAUCCGGAUUUACUGGGUGUAAAGGGAGCGUAGACGGCGAAGAAAGUCUGAAGUGAAAGCCCGCGGCUCAACCGCGGAACUGCUUUGGAAACUUUUUUGCUUGAGUGCCGGAGGGGUAAGCGGAAUUCCUGGUGUAGCGGGGAAAUGCGUAGAUAUUAGGAGGAACACCAGUGGCGAAGGCGGCUUACUGGACGGUAACGGACGUUGAGGCUCGAAAGCGUGGGGAGCAAACAGGAUUAGAUACCCGAGUAGUC